GAAUUUUGCGCAAUGGACGAAAGUCUGACGCAGCGACACCGCGUGUGGGAUGACGCUCUUCGGAGUGUAAACCACUGUGGCAGGGGAACAAGAUCCGAGGGUACCCUGCUAGAAAGCACCGGCAAACCCACGUGCCAGAAGCUUCGGUAAUACGUGGGGUGCCAAGCGUUAUCCGGAUUUACUGGGCGUAAAGCGUACCGUCGGUGUUUUGAUAAGUUUUCUGUCCAAGCCUGGGGCUCAACUCCAGACAGGCAGGAAAAACUAUCAGAAUAGAGUCUGUUAGGGGAAGCUGGAAUUCUCGGUGGAGGGGUGAAAUCCGUAGAUAUCGAGAGGAACGCCAAUCGCGAAGGCAAGCUUCUGGAACAUGACUGACACUCAGGGACGAAAGCUAGGGUAGCAAAGCGGAUUAGAGACCCGUGUAGUCCUAGCCGUAAACAUUGUCCGCUAGUUGUUUCUUUAUCUUUGAUAGGGGAGUGACGUAAGCUAACGCGUUAAGCGGACCGCCUGGGGAGUACGACCGCAAGGUUAAAACUCAAAGGAAUUGACGGGGGAGCGCACAACCGGUGGAGCAUGUGGUUUAAUUCGAUACAAAGCGAAAAACCUUACCUGGGUUUGACAUCCGCCUAUGUCCUCUAGAAAUAGAGUGACUUAGUGGCGUGACAGGUGAUGCAUGGCUGUCGUCAGCUCGUGUCGUGAGACGUCCUCUUAAGUGAGGUAACGAGCGCAACCCUUAUCCUGUGUUAUACGUGUCACGGGAAACUGCCC
rnacentral:rRNA from 1 species